GUCUGUGGCCAUACCACCCUGAAUAUGCCUGAUUUUGUGUGAUCUCAGAAACUAAGCAGGAUUGGGCCUGGUUAAUACUUGGAUUGGAGACUGUCUGGUAAUACUGGGUACUGUAGACU
ensembl:rRNA 5S_rRNA 5S ribosomal RNA